rnacentral:pre_miRNA from 1 species
UCGUAACAUGGGCCGAUGCUAAAGGGUCCUGCCCAACGGCUACGGAUAGGUGCUGUCAGGGCAGGGACCCUUUAGCACCGAUUCGUGUUACCAA